rnacentral:rRNA from 1 species
AUCAUAUGAUUUGACGAGUCGAUUUCAUCCGCCUCUCUCCUCUGGAAGCCCCAAGGGCCAAAUUCCGCCCCCCCAUGGCGAAAAGCUCCCUCCUUUUCCUCCCCACGCCUCUUUAUUUCCCACCUCCCCCCUCGUCUCUCCGUCUCUUCGCCCCAACUGGCCUCGGCCUGUCCCUCCUCCAAGUCCACCCAUUCGCCUCAAUCGGCGCCUCCGGGUUCUCCAGCCUCCCUCCAGUCCCGCGAUCUCAGAGGACGUUUAAUUGCAUGAUAUGAAGUCUGUUUGUGGAUUCCCUUUUAUGCAUAAGAUGCAGUGCACAUGAUUUUUGCCCGUAGUGCUGCAACAUCACGAUUUCUCACUUGGGACCAGCAAGCCUAAGGCUCAUGGACAGAGCUGAUACUUCAGGCUUCAUCGGUAGUGGCUCGAAUUGCAAGAAUAUUGACGUGUACUUCCAUUUUGUGUAUACUAUAUACUUUCUUGGUGGUGAAGUUGUUAAACUGGGGUUUUGAUUAUUCGGCCACUGGACAGCGCUCUAGUCUUUCUCUGUCCUAGUCCUACAUUAUACACAUAUAUAUUUACUGGGAUGGACCUUAAUAUGACAAAUCUUUGGCUUCAUGGGAAGGAACAUAUAGCCGCUUCAUUCUCUCAAGCUGAACAGAGCUCAGAAGCAGUCGAGACUUCUAGAAAAUCAUUUGGGCAGAGGAGUCGAAGUUCCCCUGUUCCUGAUGAUGACUGCAGGCUGGUCCUAGGACUUGGACCAAUGCCAAAUCUGUAUUCCGCUGAUAGCCAAUCAUCCGGUGGCAACAAAGUUAAAUUAUCUGGAAUUUUGUUCACCCAACAUUGUACUGCAAGUGAUCCUGGGUUACUGGUGGGGACUUCAAGAGGCAGCUCAAGAAAUUUGCAGUCCACAACACUGCCUGGCCGCAAGGAGCAUUCACACAAAAGAAAAAAUGGUGUUGUCUUCCCACAUAUUGGCGAGGGAUCAACUUCAGCCAAAAGGAAGUCAGGUGAUUAUCAGCUAUCACCUCUGUUUGCUCCAAGAUCAGAUGUUCUUUUUAUUGAUAGAACAAUGGCAGAGCCUGAUGUCCAGCAACACCUUGGAACCGGAUAUGAGGCCGAUCAUGAUUUAUCUCUUGAUCAGCACGGGGUUGAGCACAGCCCCGAGCCUUCUGCAACAACUGGCUGUUCUUUUGCUGCAACUUCAGAUACAAUAGAUAGCACUGAUAAUGGGGAGCAGAAAAGUCAUCAGCGCCAUCUCAAGAAGUGUCGGUUCAAUGGGUGUUCCAAGGGCGGAAGGGGUGCAUCAGGACUCUGCAUUUCCCAUGGCGGCGGUCACCGGUGCCAAAAGCCAGGUUGCAAUAAAGGGGCCGAGAGCCGAACGGCGUACUGCAAAUCGCACGGAGGAGGAAAGCGGUGCCAAGAGCUAGGCUGCACCAAAAGCGCCGAAGGGAAGACAGAGUUCUGCAUCGCUCAUGGCGGUGGGCACCGGUGCGGGGUUCCGGAGUGCUCCAAAGCAGCCCGGGGAAGAUCGGGACUUUGCAUAAAACACGGCGGAGGGAAGAGGUGCAUGACGGAGGGCUGCACCAGGAGCGCCGAAGGGUAUCCUGGGGUGUGCAUCGCGCACGGAGGUGGUCGCCGGUGCCAGUACCCGGACUGCAGCAAGGGAGCACAGGGAGGCACCCUGUUCUGCAAGUCCCAUGGUGGGGGCAAACGGUGCGUAUCUGAAGGUUGCACCAAAGGGGCCGAGGGCAGCACGUUGCUAUGCAAAGGGCAUGGCGGCGGAAAGAGGUGCCUCUUCGAGGGAGACGCGGCGUGUCCUAAGAGUGUUCACGGCGGGACCAGCUUCUGCGUGGUGCAUGGAGGAGGCAAAAGGUGUGUGGCACCAGGGUGCACCAAGAGCGCUCGCGGUCGCACUGACUGCUGCGUGAGGCAUGGCGGUGGCAAGCGCUGCAAAUCAGAUGGGUGCGACAAGAGCGCGCAGGGGAGCACGGACUUGUGCAAGGCGCACGGCGGGGGCAAGCGGUGCGCCUGGAGCGCCGGCUGUGACAAGUUUGCCAGGGGGAGGAGCGGCCUGUGCUCUGCUCAUGGAAACCUGACGGCCUCGAAGCAGACCGGAAGCAUGAUCGGGCAUGGCCUCUUCAGCGGGAUCGUCUCUUCUUCCUCGACGCCGGGCAGCGGCAUGGACCGAGUGAUCUCCUCUUCUCUCCCUGGCGCCUCGUCAGAUUGCUGCGGCGAGUCGUUGGAACUCAUGCAGAGUGGCAGGCUCAUACCGCCACAGCUGCUGGUUCCUGGCUCCCUGCAGAAACCAUCGUCUUCGUUUAACCUGCCGGGCAAUGGCCAAGAAGGAGGUGGUGGUAGCCGGGACCAGAGCUUCGGGUUCGUCGUGCCGGAGGGAAGGGUGCACGGCGGAGGGCUCAUGUCGAUGCUCCGAGCAGGACACCUGGGAAGCAACAUCAACAUCCCGGAAUCCUGAUGAAAAUGACACAUAUUCUGUGUGUGUGCCUUGUGCUUUUGCGCCCAGCAACCGUAUGAUGCUUUAGUGUACAGAGCUUCACUGUACUUGUUCGUCUAUGAACGAAAUUGCAUUAUCAUGAACUUGUAUUGGUACGCAAAUAGUC